UACGUAGGGGGCAAGCGUUGUCCGGAAUCAUUGGGCGUAAAGAGCGUGUAGGCGGCCCGAUAAGUCCGCUGUGAAAGUCCAGGGCUCAACCCUGGAAUGCCGGUGGAUACUGUCGGGCUCGAAUCCGGAAGAGGUGAGUGGAAUUCCUGGUGUAGCGGUGAAAUGCGCAGAUAUCAGGAGGAACACCAAUGGCGAAGGCAGCUCACUGGGACGGUAUUGACGCUGAGACGCGAAAGCGUGGGGAGCAA
rnacentral:rRNA from 1 species